GCUCAAAUUUUUAAACUUUAUAAUUUUUUUCCGAAAUAUAAUUUAAUAUAAUAUGCCUAAUGCAUUGCAUGUUGCAUAUUUUUUUAUGUUUGUUCUACUUUAAAUAACAUCAAAUAUCAGCAGCAUUCCACUGUUUCAAAAAAUAACAAAUCAAAACAACACAUUACUGAUAUUUGUUAGAUAUAUAUUUUAUUGAUUAGUGUGUACCUUGUUGGAUUUGUGUGGACUGUGAUCAAUGCUCUUAAUCAUCAGGUAUUUGUACCUACAAAUUCCAAAUCGUAGUUAAUGGUAACAAAACACUACCACUACUAAAGAAAAGUAUAAUAAACAGUUAAAUCUUCACUUGUUGUCCAUUUGUUUCAUCAGGUUUGUUGCUAUUUCAUCACAAAUGUUGAGUACAUAAAAAUAAAAAUUUGAUUAGAGAAUGUUCAUUGCGGAUUCAUAUUGUUAGAAUGUACCUUGUCGGAUUCGAAUUGACUGUGGUCGAUGAUCUUAACACUGCCAGCAGGUAUUUUUCCAUCAGUUUUUUGUUCAAUCAUAACUGGUAACUACAGAAAGAAGAUACUAAUUAGAGAUGUAGGCUGUAAAACAACACAUAAUUGAUGUGAUAAUUUGUAUGCACCUUGUCAGUGGAUCGGAUGCUCUUGCUCCAUACGAUCAUAAAGGAAAUCUAAAAUGAACUUCACCCA